UUGGAGGGCAAGUCUGGUGCCAGCAGCCGCGGUAAUUCCAGCUCCAAUAGCGUAUAUUAAAGUUGUUGCAGUUAAAAAGCUCGUAGUUGAAUUUCGGGAUUAGUACGCUGGUCGUGCCUUCGGUACGUACUGGUGUUACUGAUUUCUACCUUCUGACGAACCAUCAUGUCAUUAAUUUGGUGUGGUGGGGAAUCAGGACUGUUACUUUGAAAAAAUUAGAGUGUUUAAAGCAGGCUCGCGCUUGAAUACAUUAGCAUGGAAUAAUGAAAUAGGACGUUGAUCCUAUUUUGUUGGUUUCUAGGAUUGACGUAAUGAUUAAUAGGGAUAGUUGGGGGCAUUAGUAUUCAAUUGUCAGAGGUGAAAUUCUUGGAUUUAUUGAAGACUAACUACUGCGAAAGCAUUUGCCAAGGAUGUUUUCAUUAAUCAAGAACGAAAGUUAGGGGAUCGAAGACGAUCAGAUACCGUCGUAGUCUUAACCAUAAACUAUGCCGACUAGGGAUCGGAUGAUGUUAUUUUUAAUGACUCAUUCGGCGCCUUACGGGAAAC
rnacentral:rRNA from 1 species